rnacentral:rRNA from 1 species
CUACGUGCCAGCAGCCGCGGUAAUACGUAGGGCGCGAGCGUUGUCCGGAAUUAUUGGGCGUAAAGAGCUUGUAGGCGGUUUGUCGCGUCUGCUGUGAAAGGCCGGGGCUUAACCCUGGUUUUGCAGUGGGUACGGGCUAACUAGAGUGCAGUAGGGGAGACUGGAAUUCCUGGUGUAGCGGUGGAAUGCACAGAUAUCAGGAGGAACACCGAUGGCGAAGGCAGGUCUCUGGGCUGUAACUGACGCUGAGAAGCGAAAGCAUGGGGAGCGAACAGGAUUAGAUACCCUGGUAGUCCAUGCCGUAAACGUUGGGCACUAGGUGUGGGGGACAUUCCACGUUUUCCGCGCCGUAGCUAACGCAUUAAGUGCCCCGCCUGGGGAGUACGGCCGCAAGGCUAAAACUCAAAGGAAUUGACGGGGGCCCGCACAAGCGGCGGAGCAUGCGGAUUAAUUCGAUGCAACGCGAAGAACCUUACCAAGGCUUGACAUGCAUUAGAUCGCGUCAGAGAUGG